UAAUUUGUUGGUUUUGCUUAAAUAUUAUUUCUUUGGUUUGUGCUAUUGCUUUUGUUUUUAAUAAUUUCUUUUGCUGCAGUUGAUGAAGGUAAGCCCUUUCCCCUUUAGUUUAGGUUUAUUCUUGUUAAUAUUUGUACUGGUGUGCGAUUUUUCUCCAACUGUUUUGUACACUAAAAAAUUAAAUUGAACAGAAUGGUUUAGACUUUAAUAACUUUCUGGGUUGGUUUAUGAGUUCUAGUAGAUCUGUUUUUUUUUUUUUUUGGCAAAAUCAAUAGACCUCGUGCUUUCAACAUUCCAUUUGGACUUUUGAUACAUCUGGAAACUACUUUUGAUACAUUUGUUGUGUUGUUGUUGGUCUUUACUAUUAUUUUUUUCAGUUUGCUAGCUACUUUCCCAACUUCUGGCCUUUGUGUUUUAAACUUUAGCUGUUAUUUAACUUUUGUGAGUUGUAGUUUCUAAGAACAUAAUUUCAUAUAAAGAUAAACUAGGAUAGUUGGAACCUUGGCUAUUGUGUUACAGCACCUUAAAUUUGAAUUCAUAUUUGCAUUGAUUGUGAUAUUGGACACUAAACUUCCUAAACUUAUGAACCUUUAUGAAUUGGAGUAAGGACGGCUUUAUCCUUUUAUGAGUCACUUUUGUUAAGUUCACCUGAUCUUGGUUAUGCUAUCUAUCAAAGCUAGAAUAAUUAAUUCACAGUUUGAUGUUGGGACAGCCUAACACUCUGUUUUUUAAUUUUAUUUUUAAUCUUUAUUGCAGGUAUAUAUCAUAGACUAUGAUCUUGCGAAAAAGUAUAGGGAUCUUCAGACGCACAAGCACAUUCCAUACAUGGAAAACAAGAAUCUCACAGGAACAGCUUGUUAUGCAAGUGUUAACACUCUCCUUGGAGUUGAGCAAAGCAGAAGAGAUGAUUUGGAGUCUCUUGGUUAUGUGCUUAUGUAUUUUUUGAGGGGAAGUCUUCCCUGGCAGGGAUUAAAAGCAGGUACGAAAAAACAAAAUACGACAAGAUCAGUGAAAA